UGAAAAUGCUUAAAGAGGACUUGAUGUCUUCUGGGGCUAGUCCAUCACUGAAUGUGUUGGACUAUGUGAGCAAGUUCCGUGAACGGUUACAUAAAGCUUGCUCGGUGGCGAAGGAGUCACUUGAAGUUGCGCAAAGGAAAAUGAAACGUCUUUUUGACCGCAAAUCUGUACAGCGUUCCUUUAACGAGGGCGAUCAGGUGUUGGUGUUGCUGCCUAUGGUAGGGUCGGCGUUAUCAGCCCGGUUUUCUGGUCCGUACGAGGUGGUACGGAAACUUAGCAAUACAGAUUACGUAAUCGGGACACCCGAUAGAAAACGAAAGACUCGUGUCUGUCAUGUGAAUAUGUUGAAGACUUUUUAUUGCAGAGAGGGUAUCCAGUCCGAUGUUUCGCCGACAGAGGAAACCGCUGUUCACCUGUCCUCCCCGGCUCCUGCCUCCGUGGCAUGCGCUGCGGUGGAAAUCUCUAACCCGGAUGAUGAUGGAGUAAUUGUUCGCCACACUUACCAGCAAUGUGCUCGCCUCAAGAACUCUGAGGUCGCUGUGACUGGCGGAUCGGUCGUCAGUGGGGCGGAGGACGAGGGCCAAUCAGGAGACGGAGCCGCUGCUUAAGAGGGACGGCGGGCUCAUUCUCUGAAACCCCUCUCAGUAUUGCUGACGCUCAGGGCCGCCGAUUGUGGGCUGCUCUCCGGCACCCAGAUUGUUGUGCAUUUCAGACUGUUUUGGAUAAGUGUUUUCGUGUCAUCAGCGGCAUCAGCUGCAAAACCGCGCCGGGGGGAAGAACGGUAGGUUAGUAUAUCGCGAUAUACAUCCUGCCCGUAGUUGUCCUGUGUAUAGACACCCUAGGGUAGAGGUGAGCGCCACCCCCUGUAUUUUUGUUAUUAGAUAGGAGGUGUAGGCGCCGAGUGCGCGAAGACUCCGUUUUUCUUUCGACCUUUUUCUUUGGAUAGGGGUAGGUCGAGGUAGGGGUGUUUUGGUUAUACUUGGUUCUCUCAGUUGGCGCCGCCUACGUUCUUUCCCCAAUGUAUUCAGGUAGGGGUGCUUAUCCCCCUCUUUUCGACUGGGUCCGGGGAGAACAAUAAAACCCCAGUUUUUUUUUCUUUUACAACGUGCCUGCCUUGUCUCCUUUCAUUUACCUCUCCCCCGUGAUACAUCGACAAAUUUUAGUGUUACGGCUGUCCCUAGACCGCCAGUGAUCGUAACAGUGAGGCAGCAAUAUUACAAACGCGUCAUGAUUUUGUCUGUACAUACCUUGGAAUACAUACUUAGGCGCACUAUACGCAGCUCCUCCCGUCCAAACUUCCACUUUCCUGUCAGGGUGUGGGGAAGGCAGGACUCAAACGCAGACUUUCAAAAAACAAAAAGACUUAGAUAAGAAUAGUCAAAAUACAAACGGGGCCAAGGGGCAAAAAUGCAGACGGGAACCAGGAACAUUCAACAAUGACGCCACAAGUGACAAGAGAUACACAGGGCUUAAAUACACUAGGGAGGUGCAGGUGAUUGGACACAGGUGGAAACAAUCAGACAAUCACAGGGGAUGACAGGACAAGGCAGGAAGUGAAGUUACCCACGGAGACAAGAGGCUGAAAAGUACAAAAUAAGACAUGAAACAAACCCAAACCGUG
ensembl:lncRNA